AUUGAACGCUGGCGGCAUGCCUAACACAUGCAAGUCGAGCGAGGGGCGGACGGGUGAGUAAUGUCUGGGCCACUGCCUUGUGGAGGGGGAUAUCUACUGGAACCGGUAGCUUAUCACGCAAACUAUCAGCUGGGCCCCUAUGGGCUGAGCUUGUUGGUGGGGUAAUGGCGCAUCAGGGCGACGAUCCCUAGCUGGUCUGAGAGGAUGACCAGCCACACUGGAACUGAGACACGGUCCAGACUCCUACGUGAGGUAGCAGUGGGGAAUAUUGCACAAGGGGCUCAAGUCGUGUGCAGCCAUGCAGCGUGUGUGAAGAAGGCAUCUGGGUUGUAAAGUACUGUCAGGGGGGAGGCGUUACCCGCAGAAGAAGCACCGGCUAACUCCGUGCCAGCAGCCGCGGUAAUUC
rnacentral:rRNA from 1 species